CUAGUGGUUAGUUGGGGCGGCAGGUAGCCAAGUGGUUAGAGGGGCGUUAGGUAGUCUAGUGGUUAGUUGGGGCGGCAGGUAGCCAAGUGGUUAGAGGGGCGUUAGGUAGUCUAGUGGUUAGUUGGGGCGGCAGGUAGCCAAGUGGUUAGAGGGGCGUUAGGUAGUCUAGUGGUUAGUUGGGGCGACAGGUAGCCAAGUGGUUAGAGGGGCGUUAGGUAGUCUAGUGGUUAGUUGGGGCGACAGGUAGCCAAGUGGUUAGAGGGGCGUUAGGUAGUCUAGUGGUUAGUUGGGGCGGCAGGUAGCCAAGUGGUUAGAGGGGCGUUAGGUAGUCUAG
ensembl:lncRNA